GCUUACUAGGCUUCGAGACCGAUCACUUAAAGGCACACUCUAGCCGUGCAGGGUGGUGAGGCCUCAUCUGUCCCUUGUCUGGAAGGCAGCCAGCCAAUCACUUCCAGAACAGCAGGCCCGACAGGCCUACAUCACCGGACCUGAUUCUUCGUUUUAUAUUUUGGAUUUCUCCCUUCCCAUCAGGUAACUCCUUCUCUCUACUGCUAAUGACGGCUGUGGUGUGUUGGGUAAGAAUGGACCCCAUAGGCUCAUAUAUUUGAAUGCUUAAUUAUCCGGGAGUGGUUUGAAAGGGUUAGAAAGGUUAGGAGCUGUGUCCUGGCUGGAGGAGGUGUGUCACUGGAGGUGGGCUUUGAGAUUUCAAAAGAGCCCACACUGCUACUAUUAGGCUCCCUCCUUUUCCCCCUCCCUCCCUCCCUCCUUCCCUCCCUCCCUCCCCCUCCUCUGUUCUCAGAUCAGGAUGCAGCACUCAGCUACUGUUCCAAUGCCAUGCUUGACGCCAUGUUUGCUUCCCUGUUUCCUGUCAUGAUGAUAAUGAACUGACCCCGUGAAACUCAACACCACUCAGAGGAAAUCCCGGCUCCCACAGCUCACGGUCAGCUGCUCUCUUUAGAACAGCUGCUUCUCCAUGUCACACGUGUCCUGCCUGCCAGGCCCAGCCUUUGCAGGUCCCUGCUGUGAAUUCUGCCUUUGCCUCUCCUCACACAAUGCCACUGCUGCCUCACGGCGUCAGAAGGGUGACUUUCUCAUCUAGGAUGACUGUGCUCACACGACAUACUCCCUCACACCCGUCCACUCCUGCGCAAACAUAAAACCAUCGUCAUCAUCACCUUCAACACUUGUGCUGAGGAUGGCGGUUCAUAAUCGAAAUCACAGCACUCCUCCGGCUGACAUGGGGGUCCUGAGUCAGAGCCAGCCUGAGUUCAUGGUGAGAUCCUGUUUUAAACACUACCAAUACCCUCACACUAAGUAUGACUCUACCCAGAGUCCUAAGAUAGAAGAGAAGUUAAGGUCCUCCCCGGUGUCGCCAGCCCAGCUACUCUCCAGUGAUAUGGCUGGGGAGAGCAUUGCCUUCAGUUUCUCGUGGAGAAAAAUCUUCCCUCUCUAGGUGUCUGCUUUACCCAUAGGGAUCCUUCUUGCUGAGGAUGUACAGCCUCCACACCGUCAAGGCCUUUCCCAAGGCCUCUCAGAGCCCCUGGGAGCAAAUCCCCACUGUUUAGAGCUUCAGUGACUCUAGGGGCUAUAGCAGUGACACCCUCUCCACCCACAUUACCCACUGGUGUCACAGCAUCUGAGGACUGCACUCAUCAGAUUUUGUAAGAGUCACACAUGGCUCCUCUGCGGUCUCUUUGAGGUGAGGGAAGAGCCUUUGUCCUGACCAGGACUCCUCGCUGGUUGAUGUUCGCUACUCUUUGGUGCGCACCCAACAUAAUUUUGCUUUCUUUUAAUUGGUCACCAUGAAUAACCUGAGCUGUCACCUCCACCACUGAGGGGGAGUCUUCUCCACUGCUGUUCUUACUGUACCGCUGUGAGCCCCCGCUAGAUUAAUCGUGUACCUGGUAACCCAUUGCCUCUUUCUGCUGUUUUGUGUUCUCAGUCACCACCCAGCACUCUCCGUACACCUGGUGCCAGGAUACUGGUCAUGGCA